AAUAUUGGUCAAUGGGCGAAAGCCUGAACCAGCAAUGCCGCGUGAGUGAUGAAGGCCUUCGGGUUGUAAAGCUCUGUCGGGAGGGACGAAAAAGAGGGUUAACACUCCUCAUUGACGGUACCUCCAAAGGCAGCACCGGCUAACUCUGUGCCAGCAGCCGCGGUAAUCCAGAGGGUGCAAGCGUUGUUCGGAAUUACUGGGCGUAAAGCGCGUGUAGGUGGCGAUGUAAGUCGGGUGUGAAAUCCCUCGGCUCAACCGAGGAAGUGCAUUCGAUACUGUGUCGCUUGAGUACCGGAGGGGAUGGCGGAAUUCCCGGUGUAGAGGUGAAAUUCGUAGGUAUCGGGAGGAACACCUGUGGCGAAGGCGGCCAUCUGGACGGUCACUGACACUGAGACGCGAAAGCGUGGGUAGCAAA
rnacentral:rRNA from 1 species